rnacentral:rRNA from 1 species
UACGAGGGGAGCUAGUGUUGUUCGGAUUUACUGGGCGUAAAGGGAGUGUAGGCGGAGGCCUAAGUCAGAGGUGAAAAUUUGGGGCUUAACCCCAAACCUGCCUCUGAUACUGGGUUUCUUGAGUAUGGAAGAGGGCGAUGGAAUUCCUGGUGUAGCGGUGGAAUGCGUAGAUAUCAGGAGGAACACCGAUAGCGAAGGCAGUCGCCUGGUACAAUACUGACGCUGAAACUCGAAAGCGUGGGGAGCAAACAGG